UUGUCCUACGGGGGGCAGCAGUGAGGAAUAUUGGUCAAUGGGCGAGAGCCUGAACCAGCCAAGUCGCGUGAGGGAAGACGGUCCUAUGGAUUGUAAACCUCUUUUGCCGGGGAGCAGAAAGCGGUACGUGUACCGCAUCGAGAGUACCCGGAGAAAAAGCAUCGGCUAACUCCGUGCCAGCAGCCGCGGUAAUACGUAGGUGGCGAGCGUUAUCCGGAAUGAUUGGGCGUAAAGGGUGCGUAGGCGGCCUGCUAAGUCUGGAGUGAAAGGUACCGGCUCAACCGGCACAGGCUCUGGAAA
rnacentral:rRNA from 1 species